AGUGAACGCUGGCGGUAGGCCUAACACAUGCAAGUCGAACGGCAGCACAGUAAGAGCUUGCUCUUACGGGUGGCGAGUGGCGGACGGGUGAGGAAUACAUCGGAAUCUACUUUUUCGUGGGGGAUAACGUAGAGAAACUUACGCUAAUACCGCAUACGACCUACGGGUGAAAGCAGGGGAUCUUCGGACCUUGCGCGAUUGAAUGAGCCGAUGUCGGAUUAGCUAGUUGGCGGGGUAAAGGCCCACCAAGGCGACGAUCCGUAGCUGGUCUGAGAGGAUGAUCAGCCACACUGGAACUGAGACACGGUCCAGACUCCUACGGGAGGCAGCAGUGGGGAAUAUUGGACAAUGGGCGCAAGCCUGAUCCAACCAUACCGCGUGGGUGAAGAAGGCCUUCGGGUUGUAAAGCCCUUUUGUUGGGAAAGAAAAGCAGCAGGUUAAUACCCCGCUGUUCUGACGGUACCCAAAGAAUAAGCACCGGCUAACUUCGUG
rnacentral:rRNA from 1 species